AUAGGGGAGCCGGAGGGAAACCGAGUCUUAACCGGGCGUUAAGUUGCAGGGUAUAGACCCGAAACCCGGUGAUCUAGCCAUGGGCAGGUUGAAGGUUGGGUAACACUAACUGGAGGACCGAACCGACUAAUGUUGAAAAAUUAGCGGAUGACCUGUGGCUGGGGGUGAAAGGCCAAUCAAACCGGGAGAUAGCUGGUUCUCCCCGAAAGCUAUUUAGGUAGCGCCUCGUGAAUUCAUCUCCGGGGGUAGAGCACUGUUUCGGCUAGGGGGCCAUCCCGGCUUACCAACCCGAUGCAAACUGCGAAUACCGGAGAAUGUUAUCACGGGAGACACACGGCGGGUGCUAACGUCCGUCGUGAAGAGGGAAACAACCCAGACCGCCAGCUAAGGUCCCAAAGUCAUGGUUAAGUGGGAAACGAUGUGGGAAGGCCCAGACAGCCAGGAUGUUGGCUUAGAAGCAGCCAUCAUUUAAAGAAAGCGUAAUAGCUCACUGGUCGAGUCGGCCUGCGCGGAAGAUGUAACGGGGCUAAACCAUGCACCGAAGCUGCGGCAGCGACACUGUGUGUUGUUGGGUAGGGGAGCGUUCUGUAAGCCUGUGAAGGUGUGUCGUGAGGCAUGCUGGAGGUAUCAGAAGUGCGAAUGCUGACAUAAGUAACGAUAAAGCGGGUGAAAAGCCCGCUCGCCGGAAGACCAAGGGUUCCUGUCCAACGUUAAUCGGGGCAGGGUGAGUCGACCCCUAAGGCGAGGCCGAAAGGCGUAGUCGAUGGGAAACGGGUUAAUAUUCCCGUACUUGGUGUUACUGCGAAGGGGGGACGGAGAAGGCUAUGUUGGCCGGGCGACGGUUGUCCCGGUUUAAGCGUGUAGGUGUGUGUUCCAGGUAAAUCCGGUUCACUUUAACACUGAGGCGUGACGACGAGGCACUACGGUGCUGAAGCAACAAAUGCCCUGCUUCCAGGAAAAGCCUCUAAGCAUCAGGUAACAUCAAAUCGUACCCCAAACCGACACAGGUGGUCAGGUAGAGAAUACCAAGGCGCUUGAGAGAACUCGGGUGAAGGAACUAGGCAAAAUGGUGCCGUAACUUCGGGAGAAGGCACGCUGACACGUAGGUGAAGUGAUUUACUCAUGGAGCUGAAGUCAGUCGAAGAUACCAGCUGGCUGCAACUGUUUAUUAAAAACACAGCACUGUGCAAACACGAAAGUGGACGUAUACGGUGUGACGCCUGCCCGGUGCCGGAAGGUUAAUUGAUGGGGUCAGCGCAAGCGAAGCUCCUGAUCGAAGCCCCGGUAAACGGCGGCCGUAACUAUAACGGUCCUAAGGUAGCGAAAUUCCUUGUCGGGUAAGUUCCGACCUGCACGAAUGGCGUAAUGAUGGCCAGGCUGUCUCCACCCGAGACUCAGUGAAAUUGAACUCGCUGUGAAGAUGCAGUGUACCCGCGGCAAGACGGAAAGACCCCGUGAACCUUUACUAUAGCUUGACACUGAACAUUGAGCCUUGAUGUGUAGGAUAGGUGGGAGGCUUUGAAGUGUGGACGCCAGUCUGCAUGGAGCCGACCUUGAAAUACCACCCUUUAAUGUUUGAUGUUCUAACGUGGACCCGUUACCCGGGUUGCGGACAGUGUCUGGUGGGUAGUUUGACUGGGGCGGUCUCCUCCUAAAGAGUAACGGAGGAGCACGAAGGUUGGCUAAUCCUGGUCGGACAUCAGGAGGUUAGUGCAAUGGCAUAAGCCAGCUUGACUGCGAGCGUGACGGCGCGAGCAGGUGCGAAAGCAGGUCAUAGUGAUCCGGUGGUUCUGAAUGGAAGGGCCAUCGCUCAACGGAUAAAAGGUACUCCGGGGAUAACAGGCUGAUACCGCCCAAGAGUUCAUAUCGACGGCGGUGUUUGGCACCUCGAUGUCGGCUCAUCACAUCCUGGGGCUGAAGUAGGUCCCAAGGGUAUGGCUGUUCGCCAUUUAAAGUGGUACGCGAGCUGGGUUUAGAACGUCGUGAGACAGUUCGGUCCCUAUCUGCCGUGGGCGCUGGAGAACUGAGGGGGGCUGCUCCUAGUACGAGAGGACCGGAGUGGACGCAUCACUGGUGUUCGGGUUGUCAUGCCAAUGGCACUGCCCGGUAGCUAAAUGCGGAAGAGAUAAGUGCUGAAAGCAUCUAAGCACGAAACUUGCCCCGAG
rnacentral:rRNA from 1 species